rnacentral:lncRNA from 1 species
UCUGCUAAAGUUUCCAUCACAGGCUACCACCACCAAACCGCUAGCAACCAUGGCCCCAGGCAUAACUAUACCAAAGCUUGUCCCCCAUCCAUCUCCUCCUCAUGGACCACAUUCCCUGAGUCUGAACCAUCCGACGAGCACUCAAAUCCCCUCCCGACUCGACAUGCCUCCUCGGAAGUGCAAGUAGCUGCAUCUGAAACAAAUGCUGUCAAGGCUUUCAUAGACAAACCGCUACCAAAAUGACCUUUCCGAACCUUUGACGAGGACCCCCGACCUCAAUGGAUGGGACAAUUCGAACUUCACGCAUGCAUGGGUGAAACUGAGUCGCCUCAUUUUCGACGUGCAAUCAUCCAUCGAGGAGAGCUCGCCAGCGAGGCAAACCACUUCUGGAUUGCCACUUCCUCCCAAAACUCUACCAAAAGCUGUGACAAAUGGAUCCAAACAAGGGCCAUGGUGAUUACACCC